rnacentral:lncRNA from 1 species
CCCUAACUCGUGCUUUGUGCGUCUUGACUCUAGCUCGACCUCCAUUCUGACCUCCAUUCUCCCAAACGCGAGCUCCUCACAAACUCGAGCUUCUCCUCCUCAGUCGAAGUCGCCGCCAUUGUUACCGUCCUUGGCUUAUUCGUCAUCGACUUGGUCCAGUGAGAAGCUCACGGCCCUCCUACUAGGACGACGACGUUGCUGCUUCAAGGAGGAUGAGGACAUCAUCCAAGCCGUUCUAAACGACGGCGUUCAGUCUUAGUGCUUCGAAUCGAAGCUCGGCGACUGGAAGAGAGCGGCGACGAUUCGG